GAUGCCCUUUCUUGCAAGACCGUAGAAUAAAUUGUCUUGUUUCCGGUUUUGGUGGUCUCGUCUAAAUUUUAUUGAUUUUGUUUCUAACAGAUUUGGGGGCUUGUUCCGGGAUCCCAAGCUCCGGUCACUUGGCAUUUUUGGGAAAACAGAGAAGGUGCACCUUGCUGAUUUCGGCGGUGUCUAGUUUCCCUCCUUGCCGCGGCGGCUUGGGUGAGUGUGAUCCGGACUGAGAGACCCUGGAAACAAGACGGGCAGACGCGACGGGUUCGGUCGGGUGACUCUUGUGUGCACAAGACCCAGGCUCCGGGAUUUCUCUCUCCAUCCUGGCGGCUGUUGCCAUGGUGACGUGGUUGUGAAUGGGGGGGGACCAGACGCUAACACAUCCCUCAAUGGGGCAACAAGUUGUCACGUCCCCGGCUUUCUGCAAGAUUCAGCCGCCGGCCCGACCGAAGUAAAUAAACGAAAUUAAAACAAACCAAGCCCGCGAUUUGAUGCCGCUCCGCGCUUUCCCUCACCUCCUGUUGUGUGUUUUCAUCCCAUCGGGACGGCUCCUGUCACUCGGAAUUGUGUCACCCUCAGAAUGAAAAUGUAUCACCGUGCUCUGUAAUUAAUAAAUAAACCAUUACAGGUUCA